rfam:Brachypodium distachyon strain Bd21 chromosome 3, whole genome shotgun sequence.
UUGAUACUCCCUCCGUCCAAGAAAAGAUAUCUCAAGUUUGUUAAAAUUUGGAUGUAUCUAGAUUUGACUUAGUGUAUAGAUGCAUUCAAAUUUAGUCAAAGUUGAGACAUCCUUUGUUGGACGGAGAAUACAAA